AUACGGAGGGUGCAAGCGUUACUCGGAAUCACUGGGCGUAAAGCGCGCGCAGGCGGCUAUUUAAGUUGGAUGUGAAAGCCUACGGCUCAACCGUAGAACUGCAUCCAAGACUAUUUAGCUAGAGUGUGGGAGAGGAAGAUGGAAUUAGUUGUGUAGGGGUAAAAUCCGUAGAGAUAACUAGGAAUACCAAAAGCGAAGGCAAUCUUCUGGAACACUACUGACGCUGAGGCGCGAAAGCGUGGGUAGCAAACAGGAUUAGAAACCCCAGUAGUCC
rnacentral:rRNA from 1 species